UGUACUCUAUGGAAAAUGUACACUUUCCUUUUUUCUCUAAAUUAGGUUUAAUUUAUUUCAGAAGUUUCUAGAUUUUAUUGUCUCUAUUUAGCCAAAGCCAUAAGAAAAGUCAAAUUCAUAUCUUUAAAUGCUUUCAUUAUCAAUCAAGAAAGAAGAAAGUGAAACGAACAAACAAUUUUACUCAAGAAACUAGUGAGAAAUCAAAGAAAUGUCCAAGAAGUAGGAUACAAGAAUUAAUCAAAACAGAUUAACAGUGGAAUAAAUAAAUGAAUCCAACUGGUUCUUUGUAAUGGAAUGUGGAAAGACAUACUCUAUUCUUCUGGAUAGGAAGAUGAAAUAUCAUAAUCAUAUCAAUGCAAGUUUUAUGCAUGCUCAAACAUGUAUAAACUAAGAAAAAAUCUGAAAGGACAGACAGCAAAAUGUUUGCAGUUUUUUUCCUCCAAGUGGUAAGAUUAAAGAACACAGACAAAAAUAGAAACUCCUCACAUGACCCACCACGAAGCCCAUCAGAUGGCAGAAUGCAGAAUCAGGUUGCAGUGGACUGAUCUUAAAACAGAUGAAGCAGUGGAGAAAAUCUUCCUGGAGCUGAUGGUAUAAUUUGCUUCUUGAAACAAUGACAGUCCAUGAAAUAAGGUGGGGAAGAUGUUUUGAACCUCUCUCAGCAGCAGAUCCCUAAAUCACAGACCCAGAACUUGGAGGAAACAGGAAACAGGAGGCCAUCUCUGCACCUCUCCAGCACUGCUCUGGUUGGUGGGCAGAAUAUCAUAAAAUCAUCACGAUUCUUAUAUCAAAAACCAAAUUCUA
rnacentral:lncRNA from 10 species